GCAGGUGGGACACCAGCUCAUCACCAACAUCGAGGUGAUGAACGAUGCCAUGAAGGAGGCCGCCCAGGCGAAGGAAGGCCAUCUGGCUGGGGCCGCCCACCUCGAGGAGAAGAUCGUCGAGGUCCUAAGCCUCCAGGAGGCACUGAAAAAGGAGGAACAAACCUCGUCCGAUCUGAGGACCGCCUUGGAGGAGGAGAGAAAGAAGGCUGAG
rnacentral:lncRNA from 1 species